GACGUAGGGCGCGAGCGUUGUCCGGAUUUAUUGGGCGUAAAGAGCUCGUAGGCGGCUUGUCGCGUCGACCGUGAAAACUUGGGGCUCAACCCCAAGCCUGCGGUCGAUACGGGCAGGCUAGAGUUCGGUAGGGGAGACUGGAAUUCCUGAUGUAGCGGUGAAAUGCGCAGAUAUCAGGAGGAACACCGGUGGCGAAGGCGGGUCUCUGGGCCGAUACUGACGCUGAGGAGCGAAAGCGUGGGGAGCGAACAGG
rnacentral:rRNA from 1 species